UCAUUUUGCAAAUGCAGUUUCACAAGUUGCCCUGUUGAAAAUCAAAUUAGGGGUGUAACUAUUUCAAUGACUUUCUCAAAGUAACAUAACAAUAUUCACGAGAUCGUGGUAUGAAAAGUGCCUCGCUGUCCUGUCUUGGUAUAAAAUAAUGAGCCGUUGUGCCUCAAAUCUAGUUUUGGUCCGGCUAUACGGCGUGCCCAUGUGGGUAGUCACAAGAAAUACGCUGAUUGCCUGACUGGCCCACGUGACCGAAAGGCUCCGUUCGGAGGGAUGCGGAAGUAAUACGGGGUGGACAAAACGCCGCUUUGCCGGAAAUAACCGCGUGGAUGGAUGACAUUGAUCAAAAACACUUCGCCUGCAACUCGGGCGGAGCCGCCAAGCCUGUCUGAGCGGCGCUUCGCAAUCGAUUGGGCAAGAGGCGCCUUGUUCUUAGCGCCGGCCUCCGUCACAGCAAAUGCAGACCCACGGUAUCCGAGUUCAAAGGUCGCGGGUGAAAGAACAUCACACGAAUCGGGAAUACAACUUAUCCCUCAGCCAAUACAUUCCAUUCGUCCCCAAAAUGAAAUAAUAAAUAACGAAAAUAAUAACGUCAUACAAAUACAGACAUCAAUGCAAUAAUAAAUCACCUUGCAUACUUCCCUCUCUUCGAAGGGAAUGUUCACAUUUCAAAUGAAAACAUAUUACAGAUGCUGCUCAGAAUAAUCCAUCAUCUUAACAAUAUCACUAAGCGGAGGAAAAGAAACUUCGAUUCCUCUUCCUGCCUUUCUGACUUGAAUGAUUUUUGGACUUAAGCCAAGGAAUCACUGUUACUAGGCAGUAUCCAAUUUCUCAUGUUCUCAGGCAAAAAUAUGACAAUAAAUACUGUGAAAUGAAUGGACAGAUCAUUUCUCAAUGGACAGUUUUGUUAUUGUGAGCAUAGCAUGAUUAUUGCUGCAGCAAGAAUAGCAUUUUGAAGGUACAAUAUACGAAUGUAAACAUCGGACGGACGGGUUAGAAGUGCAUGGUCAUAUGUUAUUUAAACAUGUCUUUUUGAAACUACGAAAGCCUAUCAAGAAGGACUCGGCCAGAAAGAAAAGACCGCUCUUUCGGUUCUCUUGCUUUUCGCCUCUUCGAUCCGUCCUGCAAUACCGUGAGCUUUCCCACGAUAUCGCAAGAAUUAUCGGACUGUGAGAUUAAUACCGUGAUAAAACCGAACCGUGACCUAUACGUAUCGUUACAUUCCUACUAAUUACAUUUGCAUGACUUUUCUUCAUUUUGAACAAAGGCAUCAUCAGGACCACCCUUGGAUGUUUCCUCUAAAAAGUGGAUUCAACCAAUAAAUCAUUAUUUAACAAUUAAACACAAAUAAUAAACUGAUAACAAAACAUGAAAAUGUGGUUGUUGCAUUAUGUGUGGACAGUAUGUGGAAAACAAGAUACCAUGUUGACCUAAAGACAAAUGUGCACAAUUUAGACAGUAUCACUUCACAUGACAAACCAGAUAAGUGAAUGUUCCAUAAAAAAGUAAAACAAUUAUCAAGUUGAAACUGUUCAAAAGUAAAUUUUCU